AAUCAUUUGAAUUAAAUUCUAUAAACUCAUAAGCAAUAACUAUGAAUUCAGUAUAAAGAUAAUUUACAUUUAUUUUUAACAUGCAAAAUAGUUUCUAAACAAAAAACUUAAGCAAAAUAGUAAUGAAACAGUGUAAAAAAAAUCAGCUAUAUAACGGCUGAUUUUAUAACCAAAGUGAAGGAAGAAUCAGCUCAUGGAAGGAAAAGAAAGAGCAUGAGGUCGGAAAAGAAUAGCUGUUUUUAUAACCAAAAUAAGGAAGAAUCAACUCAGCCACAUGAAGGAAAAGAAAGAAUAGAAGCAUCAAUCUGAAAUACUGAAUUGAGAAAAGAAAACCAAAGUGGGUGGGAGAGAGAGCUGAAUAAAGAAAAGAAAACCCAAGUUGGGGGAAGAGAGAGGAGGAAG
rnacentral:misc_RNA from 1 species